UAUGGAGGGUGCAAGCGUUAUCCGGAUUCACUGGGUUUAAAGGGUGCGUAGGCGGGCAGGUAAGUCAGUGGUGAAAUCUCCGGGCUUAACCCGGAAACUGCCGUUGAUACUAUCUGUCUUGAAUGUCGUGGAGGUGAGCGGAAUAUGUCAUGUAGCGGUGAAAUGCUUAGAUAUGACAUAGAACACCAAUUGCGAAGGCAGCUCACUACACGAUGAUUGACGCUGAGGCACGAAAGCGUGGGGAUCAAACAGG
rnacentral:rRNA from 1 species